rnacentral:rRNA from 1 species
CCUACGGGUGGCAGCAGCAAGGAAUUUUCCGCAAUGGGGGAAACCCUGACGGAGCAACGCCGCGUGCGGGAUGACGCGUUUCGGCGUGUAAACCGCUUUUCUUGGGGAGGAUGGAGGACAGUACCCGAGGAAGAAGGCCCGGCUAACUACGUGCCAGCAGCCGCGGUAAUACGUAGGGGCCGAGCGUUGUCCGGAGUUAUUGGGCGUAAAGCGCGCGCAGGCGGCCUCGCGCGCCCGACGUGAAAGCCCCCGGCUUAACCGGGGAGAGUCGUUGGGGACGGCGGGGCUUGAGGGCGGGAGAGGUCGGUGGAAUUCCCGGUGUAGUGGUGAAAUGCGUAGAGAUCGGGAGGAACACCUGUGGCGAAGGCGGCCGACUGGGCCGACCCUGACGCUGAGGCGCGAAGGCGUGGGGAGCGAACGGGAUUAGAUACCCCAGUAGU